rnacentral:rRNA from 1 species
AACGAACGCUGGCGGCAGGCUUAACACAUGCAAGUCGAGCGCCCCGCAAGGGGAGCGGCAGACGGGUGAGUAACGCGUGGGAAUCUACCGUGCCCUACGGAAUAGCUCCGGGAAACUGGAAUUAAUACCGUAUACGCCCUACGGGGGAAAGAUUUAUCGGGGUAUGAUGAGCCCGCGUUGGAUUAGCUAGUUGGUGGGGUAAAGGCCUACCAAGGCGACGAUCCAUAGCUGGUUUGAGAGGAUGAUCAGCCACAUUGGGACUGAGACACGGCCCAAACUCCUACGGGAGGCAGCAGUGGGGAAUAUUGGACAAUGGGCGCAAGCCUGAUCCAGCCAUGCCGCGUGAGUGAUGAAGGUCUUAGGAUUGUAAAGCUCUUUCACCGGAGAAGAUAAUGACG